AGAGCGAACGCUGGCGGCAGGCCUAACACAUGCAAGUCGAGCGCCCGUAGCAAUACGGGAGCGGCAGACGGGAUAGUAACACGUGGGAACGCGCCCUUCGGUUCGGAAUAACUCAGGGAAACUUGAGCUAAUACCGAAUACGCCCUUACGGGGAAAGAUUUAUUGCCGAAGGAACGGCCCGCGUCCGAUUAGCUAGUUGGUGAGGUAAUGGCUCACCAAGGCUACGAUCGGUAGCUGGUCUGAGAGGAUGACCAGCAUCACUGGGACUGAGACACGGCCCAGACUCCUACGGGAGGCAGCAGUGGGGAAUUUGGACAAUGGGCGAAAGCCUGAUCCAGCCAUGCCGCGUGUGUGAAGAAGGCCUUCGGGUUGUAAAGCACUUUUGUCGGAACGAAACGUCAAAGGCGAAUAAUCUUUGAUAAUGACGGUACGGAAGAAUAAGCACCGGCUAACUACGCGCCAGCAGCCGC
rnacentral:rRNA from 1 species